ACGAGCGCAGUCACACCUCCCACAACUUCAUGCUUUUGAAUGAGGCGGUGGAUAUCUAUAGGGACAAAAUAAACAACAUCAUAUACUCGCUCAAACAGAGGCAAACGACCUUCCAAGAUUUCGAGCUAAAGCAGCUGGAAAGCAUCUCGGGCAUUAAGGAACAGUCAAACAAAAUACAGAUCCUGAUUGACUCUGAGUUCGCCAAACUGCGAAGUAUUUUGGACGAGAAGGAGAGAAGCC